GACGAACGCUGGCGGCGUGCUUAACACAUGCCAGUCGAACGGAAAGGCCUCUUUCGGGGGGUACUCGAGUGGCGAACGGGUGAGUAACACGUGAGUAACCUGCCCUUGACUUUGGGAUAACUUCAGGAAACUGGGGCUAAUACCGGAUAGGAGCUCCUGCUGCAUGGUGGGGGUUGGAAAGUUUCGGCGGUUGGGGAUGGACUCGCGGCUUAUCCGCUUGUUGGUGGGGUAGUGGCUUACCAAGGCUUUGACGGGUAGCCGGCCUGAGAGGGUGAGCGGCCACAUUGGGACUGAGAGACGGCACAGACUCCGACGGGAGGCAGCAGUGGGGAAUAUUGCACAAUGGGUGGAAGCCUGAUGCAGCAACGCCGUGUGCGGGAUGACGGCCUUCGGGUUGUAAACCGCUUGCGCUCAUGACGAAGCUUUGUGUGACGGUAGUGGGUAAAGAAGCACCGGCUAACUACGUG
rnacentral:rRNA from 1 species